GAUGAACGCUGGCGGCGUGCCUAAUACAUGCAAGUCGAGCGAACAGACGAGGAGCUUGCUCCUCUGACGUUAGCGGCGGACGGGUGAGUAACACGUGGAUAACCUACCUAUAUGACUGGGAUAACUUCGGGAAACCGGAGCUAAUACCGGAUAAUAUAUUGAACCGCAUGGUUCAAUAGUGAAAGACGGUUUUGCUGUCACUUAUAGAUGGAUCCGCGCCGCAUUAGCUAGUUGGUAAGGUAACGGCUUACCAAGGCAACGAUGCGUAGCCGACCUGAGAGGGUGAUCGGCCACACUGGAACUGAGACACGGUCCAGACUCCUACGGGAGGCAGCAGUAGGGAAUCUUGCGCAAUGGGCGAAAGCCUGACGGAGCAACGCCGCGUGAGUGAUGAAGGUCUUCGGAUCGUAAAGCUCUGUUAUUAGGGAAGAACAAAUGUGUAAGUAACUAUGCACGUCUUGACGGUACCUAAUCAGAAAGCCACGGCUAACUACGUG
rnacentral:rRNA from 1 species